rnacentral:ncRNA from 1 species
UAAAAGUUUGAUUUUAGCUUAAUUAUUUAUAUUAUAAUUAUUUUGCAUGUAAAUURUUGUGUGUAAUUUUUUUAUUUUAAAUAAAUAUUUAAAAUWUAAUAUAUUUGCAGCAUUUGAUUUUAAUAAUUUAAGAAAUUUAGAAUUAUUAAUUAUUAUAUACAUAGGCUAAAAUUGUGCCAGCAGCUGCGGUUACACAAUUUAUGUAAUUAAAUAUUAUUAAUUUAUAAUUUUUAUUUUAUUUAUAAAUAUAUUAUUAUGUUAAUUAGGUGAAAUUUUUAAUAAAUUAUAUUAUUUUUAAUUUUUAUUUAAAUUAUGAAAUCUAAAUAUUAAACUAGGAUUAGAUACCCUAUUAUUUUAGAAUUAAAAAUUUUUUUUUUUAAGGAUUAAUAGGUAUGUUCUUUAAACUUAAAAAAAUUGGCGGUAUUUAAAUCUAAUUAGGGGAAUUUGUUUUUUGAAUGAUGAUCCGCAAGAUACCUUACUUUAUUUUUUAAAUUUGUUUAUUGUCGUUAUAAAAAUAUUUUUUAAGAAUAUUAAUUUUUAAUAAUUAGAAUGGUAAUUUAUUUCAGAUCAUAGUGCAGUAAUAAUAAAGUUAAAAUGAAUUACAAUAAAUUUUAUUUAAAUGAAUAUAGAAUUGAAAUAUUUUAUUGAAGGUGGACUUAAUAGUAAAAUUUAAAAUUUUAUAAAUUUGAAUUUAGAACUAAAUAUGUACAUAUUGCCCGUCACUUUCAUUUUAAAAUGAGAUAAGUCGUAACAAAGUAAGUGUAUUGGAAAAUGUGCUUAGAAUGU